rnacentral:rRNA from 1 species
UACGUAGGGUGCGAGCGUUGUCCGGAAUUACUGGGCGUAAAGAGCUCGUAGGUGGUUUGUCGCGUUGUUCGUGAAAACUCACAGCUCAACUGUGGGCGUGCGGGCGAUACGGGCAGACUGGAGUACUGCAGGGGAGACUGGAAUUCCUGGUGUAGCGGUGGGAAUGCGCAGAUAUCAGGAGGAACACCGGUGGCGAAGGC